rnacentral:rRNA from 1 species
AUUGAACGCUGGCGGCAGGCCUAACACAUGCAAGUCGAGCGGUAACACAGGGAGCUUGCUCCUGGGUGACGAGCGGCGGACGGGUGAGUAAUGUCUGGGAAACUGCCUGAUGGAGGGGGAUAACUACUGGAAACGGUAGCUAAUACCGCAUAACGUCGCAAGACCAAAGAGGGGGACCUUCGGGCCUCUUGCCAUCAGAUGUGCCCAGAUGGGAUUAGCUAGUAGGUGGGGUAAUGGCUCACCUAGGCGACGAUCCCUAGCUGGUCUGAGAGGAUGACCAGCCACACUGGAACGGAGACACGGUCCAGACUCCUACGGGAGGCAGCAGUGGGGAAUAUUGGACAAUGGGAGCAAGCCUGAUGCAGCCAUGCCGCGUGUAUGAAGAAGGCCUUCGGGUUGUAAAGUACUUUCAGCGGGGAGGAAGGUGUUGAGGUUAAUAACCUCAGCAAUUGACGUUACCCGCAGAAGAAGCACCGGCUAACUCCGUGCCAGCAGCCGCCGUAAUAC